UCCCUGGUGGUCUAGUAGAUUAGGAUGCAGUACUUUCACCAUUGUGGCCCAGGUUCAAUCCCUGGUCUGGGAA
rnacentral:tRNA from 1 species